rnacentral:rRNA from 1 species
GACGAACGCUGGCGGCGUGCUUAACACAUGCAAGUCUAGGUAGAACGCACCUUCGGGUGUUAUUAAACUGGCGAACGGGUGAGUAACGUGUAGGUAAUUUGCCUUCGAGAGGGGAAUAGGCCCGUGAAAACGGGAUUAAUACCGCAUAAAGUUGUUCUACAUAAGUAGGAUGAUGAAAGGUGGGGAUCUUCGGACCCAUCGCUUGAAGAUAAGCCUGCAUCUGAUUAGCUAGUUGGUGAGGUAACUGCUCACCAAGGCAUCGAUCAGUAGCUGUUCUAAGAGGAAGAUCAGCCACAUUGGGACUGAGAUACGGCCCAG